rnacentral:tRNA from 1 species
GCGCCCGUAGCUCAAUUGGAUAGAGCAUCUGGCUACGAACCAGAAGGUUGGGUGUUCAACUCACCCCGGGCGCG